rnacentral:misc_RNA from 1 species
AAGACUAUAGACCUGCGGAGUACCUGCGGAAGGAUCAUUAACGUAUCUAUGAUGGGGUGCGGAGCGCCCUGCUCCGGUCGAACGGCCGUGCAGCGGGUGCGCCGCCCCCGUCCCACCUCACAAACCCACUGUGAACAUUCACCGGUGGAGGGGGCUCGGUCUGCGCCGUGUCCCCGAUGCCGACUACCCAAACUCCAGUUGCAAAGAACGUCGUGCGGACUCGGUGCCGCCUAAAACAUG